rnacentral:rRNA from 1 species
CCUACGGGCUGCAGCAGUGGGGAAUCUUAGACAAUGGGGGCAACCCUGAUCUAGCCAUGCCGCGUGAGUGACGAAGGCCCUAGGGUCGUAAAGCUCUUUCGCCAGGGAUGAUAAUGACAGUACCUGGUAAAGAAACCCCGGCUAACUCCGUGCCAGCAGCCGCGGUAAUACGGAGGGGGUUAGCGUUGUUCGGAAUUACUGGGCGUAAAGCGCGCGUAGGCGGGCUAUUAAGUCAGGGGUGAAAUCCCGGGGCUCAACCCCGGAACUGCCCUUGAUACUGGUAGCCUUGAGUUCGAGAGAGGUGAGUGGAAUUCCGAGUGUAGAGGUGAAAUUCGUAGAUAUUCGGAGGAACACCAGUGGCGAAGGCGGCUCACUGGCUCGAUACUGACGCUGAGGUGCGAAAGCGUGGGGAGCAAACAGGAUUAGAUACCCUAGUAGUC